GCUGAGUGCUAUGGGGAAGGGUCUCUGAUUGAAGAUCCUUCCCUCAUGGAGUUUUCCCUGCAAGCUGAGAUCUUCACACAGAGAAAGUGCAUUGAAUGCAGAAUCCUUUGGCAUGGGAAAAACCUCAGGAAGCACAAUACUGCAACCUCUGCAGCCGCUCUGACCUACUGGAAUUGAACUCUGAUCUUCUGCAUAAUAAAGAUGAGUACUUCUUAGUGAUGCAAAUUUAGGAAAGGUUAGUG
rnacentral:lncRNA from 1 species